UUUUCAAAUUGUUUGUCAUAUUGAAUGUUGGCAAGAAACGAGGUGUGUCGCUUCCGCCUUAUAUUCAUCUGAUCUGCAGCUUCCGUGUAGUGGGGAUCAUUUUAAAAAUCUCGUUUCCGAACCGAUAACAAUUCAGCCAAUUCGUUGGUCGGUCGAUAAUCGGAAGAAAAGACCAACGUGCAAGUAGCAUGAAAAAGGAAAAAACAAAGACAAAAACGAAAACAAAAGCAAACAUGCAACAGACA